GACGAACGCUGGCGGCGUGCCUAAUACAUGCAAGUUGAGCGCUGAAGGUUGGUACUUGUACCAACUGGAUGAGCAGCGAACGGGUGAGUAACGCGUGGGGAAUCUGCCUUUGAGCGGGGGACAACAUUUGGAAACGAAUGCUAAUACCGCAUAAAAACUUUAAACACAAGUUUUAAGUUUGAAAGAUGCAAUUGCAUCACUCAAAGAUGAUCCCGCGUUGUAUUAGCUAGUUGGUGAGGUAAAGGCUCAACAAGGCGAUGAUACAUAGCCGACCUGAGAGGGUGAUCGGCCAAAAUGGGACUGAGACACGGCCCAAACCUCUACGGGAGGCAGCAGUAGGGAAUCUUCGGCAAUUGACGAAAGUCUGAACGAGCAACGCCGCGUGAGUGAAGAAGGUUUUCGGAUCGUAAAACUCUGUUGGUAGAGAAGAACGUUGGUGAGAGUGGAAAGCUCAUCAAGUGACGGUAACUACCCAGAAAGGGACGGCUAACUACGUG
rnacentral:rRNA from 1 species